CAAUAGCAUAUAUUAACGUUGUUGCAGUUGAAAAGCUCGUAGUUGAACUUUUGGUAGGAGCGACCUGGCCUUGGGCGCAUGCCCUUGUUUGCCGUGUGUCGUAUCUGGCCAUCCUUUUCUUCUUUUUGGAAGGAAUCUUUUACUGUGAGUAAACUGGAGUGCUCAAAACAAGACGUUUGUUUGGUACAUUAAAGCAUGGAAUAAUAAGAUAGGACCUGGUUACUAUUUUGUUGGUUUGCAUAGCUAGGUAAUGAUUAACAGGGACAGUUGGGGGUAUUCGUAUUUAAUUGUCAGGGGUGAAAUUCUUGGAUUUAUGAAAGACGAACGACUGCGAAAGCAUUUACCAAGGAUGUUUUCAUUA
rnacentral:rRNA from 1 species